GACGAACGCUGGCGGCGUGCUUAACACAUGCAAGUCGAACGGAAAGGCCUGCUUUCCCUUGUGGAUUGCGGGUACUCGAGUGGCGAACGGGUGAGUAACACGUGAGUGAUCUGCCCCCAACUUGGGGAUAAGCCUGGGAAACUGGGUCUAAUUCCCGAUAGGACUGCAGGGUGGUGCCUGUGGUGGAAAACGAUUUUCUAGUGGUUGGGGAUGAGCUCGCGGCCUAUCAGCUUGUUGGUGGGGUAAUGGCCUACCAAGGCGGCGACGGGUAGCCGGCCUGAGAGGGUGGACGGCCACAUUGGGACUGAGAUACGGCCCAGACUCCUACGGGAGGCAGCAGUGGGGAAUAUUGCACAAUGGGCGGAAGCCUGAUGCAGCGACGCCGCGUGGGGGAUGACGGCCUUCGGGUUGUAAACUCCUUUCGACCGCGAGGAAGCCACCUGGUUGGAAGGGUGGUGACGGUAGUGGUAGAAGAAGCACCGGCUAACUACGUG
rnacentral:rRNA from 1 species